rnacentral:rRNA from 1 species
UGCGGAAGGAUCAUUACCUAGAGUUGUAGGCUUUGCCUGCUAUCUCUUACCCAUGUCUUUUGAGUACCUUACGUUUCCUCGGUGGGUUCGCCCACCGAUUGGACAAACUUAAACCCUUUGCAGUUGAAAUCAGCGUCUGAAAAAACUUAAUAGUUACAACUUUCAACAACGGAUCUCUUGGUUCUGGCAUCGAUGAAGAACGCAGCGAAAUGCGAUAAGUAGUGUGAAUUGCAGAAUUCAGUGAAUCAUCGAAUCUUUGAACGCACAUUGCGCCCCUUGGUAUUCCAUGGGGCAUGCCUGUUCGAGCGUCAUUUGUACCUUCAAGCUCUGCUUGGUGUUGGGUGUUUGUCUCCUGUAGACUCGCCUUAAAACAAUUGGCAGCCGGCGUAUUGAUUUCGGAGCGCAGUACAUCUCGCGCUUUGCACUCAUAACGACGACAUCCAAAAGUACAUUUUUACACUCUUGACCUCGGAUCAGGUAGGGAUACCCGCUGAACUUAAGCAUA